CCUUAAGAAACGCAGACUAAGAACGCCACGUCCUGUGGCAACGUCUGCAUGGCUCCCAUGCUGGAGC
rnacentral:sRNA from 17 species